rnacentral:ncRNA from 1 species
GUUGCAAUAGUAAUCCUGCUCAGUAUGAGAGGAACUGCAGGUUCAGAUCCCUGGUGUGUGCGCUUCGCUGAGGAGCCGCUGGCAUGAGGCUACCAUCUGUGGUCCUGUGACUGAAGGCCUCUAAGUCAGUAUCCCGCCUAGAUUUAAC